rnacentral:rRNA from 1 species
UCGGGAAUUUUGGGCAAUGGGCGAAAGCCUGACCCAGCAACGCCGCGUGAAGGAUGAAGUAUUUCGGUAUGUAAACUUCGUAAGAAUAGGAAGAAUAAAUGACGGUACUAUUUGUAAGGUCCGGCUAACUACGUGCCAGCAGCCGCGGUAAUACGUAGGGACCAAGCGUUGUUCGGAUUUACUGGGCGUAAAGGGCGCGUAGGCGGUGUGUCAAGUCAGUUGUGAAAUCUCCGAGCUUAACUCGGAACGGUCAACUGAUACUGUCACACUAGAGUACAGAAGGGGCAAUCGGAAUUCUUGGUGUAGCGGUGAAAUGCGUAGACAUCAAGAGGAACACCUGAGGUGAAGACGGGUUGCUGGGCUGACACUGACGCUGAGGCGCGAAAGCCAGGGGAGCAAACAGGAUUAGAUACCCCCGUAGUCCCUGAGCGGGCUGGCAAGGCGCAU